AGUGCGCAGGCGCACGAAGCUCUAUGAUUAUAUAAGGGCGGGCCUCGUCCCUGUCUGUCCUUUCGCGUCGGCGGCGGUUGGCUCGGGGUUGCCCUGUAGCAUCGUGGUCUCUCGCACGAUGUCUCCCAGUGUCGAAGCCCCGCUUUGUGUGUGGUCCGAGGGGACGGCACGGACGUGGGAGGCCGGAGUGACCUGGGCUUGCGCGGGAGCGCCAGAUGCGGGCCUCGAACCUCGGUCUGCAGGGUUUGUUCUCGGCGGACGCCAUGCUUGGGAGGGACCUAGGUGACCCCUGUGGGGAAGAUCAGGAGUCUGUGUGGCAGUGCGUCGGUGUCUGAUCUUCGUCCUGUAACAGGUGAAAGGCAGAUGCCAGCGGCUGGGGCCAGACUGUGCUGAAGGUGGACACACCAGCAGGAGCUGGACUGGAACGUGGGCCACCACACCUGUCCCUGCAGAAUGUGCUGUGAAGCCGCCGCACGAGGCCCCUGACCUGAGCCUGAGGAGCAAGCUCACCCCCGCUUCGCAAGGAAUCUGCGUUAUCAGACUUGGGGAGAACGUCUUACCUCUGUAGCCUGUUUGGAAUGAAACAAUAAAAAUCUUUAAAAAUUCUUAA